rnacentral:rRNA from 1 species
GAUGAACGCUGGCGGCGUGCCUAAUACAUGCCAGUCGAGCGAACAGACGAGGAGCUUGCUCCUCUGACGUUAGCGGCGGACGGGUGAGUAACACGUGGAUAACCUACCUAUAAGACUGGGAUAACUUCGGGAAACCGGAGCUAAUACCGGAUAACAUGUUGAACCGCAUGGUUCAACAGUGAAAGACGGUUUUGCUGUCACUUAUAGAUGGAUCCGCGUCGCAUUAGCUAGUUGGUAAGGUAACGGCUUACCAAGGCAACGAUGCGUAGCCGACCUGAGAGGGUGAUCGGCCAGACUGGAACUGAGACACGGUACAGACGCCUACGGGAGGCAGCAGUAGGGAAUCUUCCGCAAUGGGCGAAAGCCUGACGGAGCAACGCCGCGUGAGUGAAGAAGGUCUUCGGAUCGUAAAACUCUGUUAUUAGGGAAGAACAAAUGUGUAAGUAACUAUGCACGUCUUGACGGUACCUAAUCAGAAAGCCACGGCUAACUACGUG